GGUCAGCUCUUAGUAGUAAAGAGACCCUGCAAAAUGAAAAACCAUGUCUUGUUGAUAAGAAUGAGAUUUCAUCAAUACUCAUAUAAGAACAUUCGGCAUACGUCACGAGUUCGAACUCUAUCGUAGACAAAAGUUAUAUUUUAAUGGAUAAUGGCAGAGAGAUGGGCCUAUUAUCCACUGAGUUUCAAACCGUGCGUCAGCUGGCCCUCGGGAAUUUCUUGGUUAAAAAAAAAAAAAAAAAAAAAAAAAAAACCCAAAGCUACAUACCUUGCCACCAGUUCCCUCGAGACGCACUUCC